AGUUGUAAUCCGUUAUUAUUCUAUUAAAUUUGCAACAUACAAAUGUAAUAGGACAUUUUUUUAUUUUUUUUGUCCCCUGUUAGUAGUGUAUCUUCUGACUGUAAAUGGGUUAGAACUCCAGCUAGCAUGUAAAGGAGCUUUAACUUUUAGGUUUACAUGUUUUCAAUUUUAUUUUGUUGCGCUGGUAGUCUAUGUAUUGGCUGAAAGAAAGG